GAUGAAGAACGUAGUGAAAUGCGAUAAGUAAUGUGAAUUGCAGAAUUCAGUGAAUCAUCGAAUCUUUGAACGCACAUUGCGCCCGCUAGUAUUCUGGCGGGCAUGCCUGUCCGAGCGUCAUUUCAACCCUCAAGCCCCCGGGCUUGGUGUUGGGGAUCGGCGAGCCUCCGCGCCCGCCGUCCCCUAAAUCUAGUGGCGGUCUCGCUGUAGCUUCCUCUGCGUAGUAGCACACCUCGCACUGGGAAACAGCGCGGCCACGCCGUUAAACCCCCAACUUCUGAACGUUUGACCUCGGAUCAGGUAGGAAUACCCGCUGAACUUAAGCAUAUCAAUGAGCGGAGGA
rnacentral:misc_RNA from 1 species